GAAGGAUCUAUAUAAAUUUCACCGAGCAUGCUGAGGUCCAUACUCAACCAAGAGCAUGGAUUGUGUUGAUCUUACGGUAGCAACAGAAAAUGAGGAAUACCAUGACCCAGCGCGACGUCUUCAACAAGUAAAUGCCGAGCUGCUGGAGGUGAUCACGCCUUUCAAUGGGAGCUUCAGUACCUGCUCGAGUCUGCUGUUCCAGAUUGCUGUUGUGGUUAAGUUCGAAGCCCAUAAAGUGCAUCACAAUUCUAUGUGUCUUCCUUCUCGAUGUCGAUGCGGUGCUGUGUCACUUGCCUCAGGCAGAACAGGAAAUUGAGACCCUGCUGGGAAGACAGCGCAACUUGUUGGAAAUAAAGGAGAAGCUUUCGGAACAGAUUGCCGCAGAUCAACGCGCCCCCAG
rnacentral:lncRNA from 1 species